rnacentral:lncRNA from 1 species
GUGUGGCAUUAUUAUAACAGAGAGUGAUGGUUAUCAAUAACUGGAUCAUUUUUUCCUGAGGAUGUGAAAAGGAUCAUGUGGUCUAAAUGCGUGAAACCUGAGCUUCCCUGGCACAGUAAGGCUGCCAGCAGUAUGAGAAGGUCUAUUAGGAAGACGUCACCAGUCAAGACCGCUGUGCACACUGAACAGGAGCCUCACAUCAGAGCCACCCAGAAUGAGGGAAAACCCAGCCAGUCACAGGCCAAACACUAUGAGACACCCGUAUGGGCCCAGAGAGCCAAGGAGCGAAUUAAAAGUGCAUUGAAGCCCCUGGAAUCUCCAGCUAAUAAGGAGCCAACCUUAACAACUGCCCCACAAACACCUGAGUGUAGCAACAAGGCAGGAUGGUUUAAUGUACUUGAGAACCAACCCAGGACAAAGUCAGCCCGGCAGAGUGUGAGGGUCCAACAGAUGACACCAGAUGACAUCAGUCUAUUUUAUUUUCUUGAGAAUCAACACGCUCAGCAAGUUGAAACAAUUGAGGAUAUUGUGACCUGCUUAAUAGGCGAAAUCUAUUAUGAUGAGACAGGUACCCAACCAGACACCCAGAUUCCUGGCCUGAGUGAAACAGCUUUGGACCUCAUUGAUAAUGUGGUGGAUGAGCUAAAGAACACCCCAAGUGACCUGUUUGGUUUACAUACCGAUGAGUCUCUGGUCCUCCCAUCUAGUUAUAAACAUCAGGUGGCCAAGAGUGUUCACAAAGAAUUGCUUUCCUGCACUGGUUCCCAAGAAAGCUUGUGGAAGGCUGUAUCCUUGGGCCACAUGGUGAAAGAGAUUGCCAGCUCAAUCUCUCUGGAGGUGUCCAAAGUAACCAGCAAGAUUGGGGCUGUCUAUCACACUAGUGUCGAUCACACUGAUAGUCCAAUCUCACCCGGCCCCAGAACGGACACAAAUUCUACCUGGGUGUCCUGUGCAGACUCAGACAUCUCUGAAGAUCUUGUCCUCAGAAUCCUAGACUUCAUAUCUUACUGUCGGUCACCAGACAGCACCUGGAAUGGGCCACAGAGUCGAUGCUCCACUGAUAUGACCGGAGAUCUCAUGGAUGCAGUCAUGGUGGAGCUCUUCACUAACACAGCCAUGCUGACGAUUCCAGUAGGUAAGCACCAGCAAAAAUGGUGCAAACCCUCCCUUACAGAUCUGGAGAAAGCUGCCAGAUUAGUGUAUAAGAAGAUGGUAAAGGAAACUGGCUCAGCUGCAGCUUUGCAAGACGCUCUCAAGCUCAGAAGGAAGCUUGUAGUCACAGCACUGGCUGAUGUAGUGGCAAAGCAAGUGUACAAGCACUUCUCAGAACAGGAGUCAGACUCCACAUAUCUCCCAGACCAAACCAGCCACAAAGAUGACUGCCCUGUUACAAGCCACAGUAACAGACAACUCACACCUGAGCUUGCUGCUGCUCAAUCUGCCAGUGAGUGCAUAGUGAACUGCAAGGCUGUGUGGGAGAUCAUUUCCAGACUGCUGCAGGAGAUUUGUCCUAACGUGCCCAUGGAAGAGAAGCCCUACCUUUAUGCUCAGGAUCUUUUUCAUAGUGCUAUAAAUAAGCUGUCUGAGUCUCCAGGGGUAACAGUAUGUGCUGAUGAGACUAUCUGUGACGUCUGCCGCCAUCCACAGGCCAUUGAGUUAAUCUGCGGCCGUGUUCUGGAGUGCCUGCAAUUUCAGAUUAACCUCAUGGGCUACAAUUUAAACUCUGCCCUGGAUGCCCAAGACGAGGCUCUCAGCUACUUCAUUGUUGCUCAUCUUGUGCAAGAGACCCUGCUGUUGAUCUCAAAUCAGACCAAUGGCAGCUCCCCUGAAGUAGACUCAGGUUCCCACCGUCAACCUGAGAGUCAAACACAACCAUGUGUAGUGAGCAGCAAAGUAAAUUAUGAAGAUUGGCCAACUUGUCAGUCAAACAUCACUGUACCAAAGGGCCAUUCCACCAUUUCUGCAACCAAGGGCUUGUCACCUAGGGCUUGCCUUUCCACUGUGUUUGCAACCAAGGGCCUACCACAGAUGCCAGGUCAAACAUACACUGGCAGAAGAAGGCACACAGUCCUGAGUGUGAAAAUAAAAAAGCACUCUCACAGAGGAAUUCAUAUCACACCGUCAGAAAGGAUAAUUCGGUUGAAGGAAAUGCAGAGGGAGUCAUCUUCUGAGGUCUCAUCAGUUUCAGUGGAGAUGUUUUCUGAAAGCCAUGGACAGAGAAGAGGGUGUUUUGGAUGGCUCCUCUCUAAGGUGAUGUGCACUGAAGACAUCCACUGGUUCGAGUAAUGUUUGAGUGUAACCAAACAUUCAAACCUAAGCUGAAUGACAAAUACAAGUUGAAGGGUGGAGGAAUGUAAAUAAAUCAAAGCAAGCCUACUUUGACCUAUUAUUGUGAUUCAGUAACAGGUGAUUCACCGUGG